rnacentral:rRNA from 1 species
UACGGAGGAUCCGAGCGUUAUCCGGAUUUAUUGGGUUUAAAGGGUGCGUAGGCGGUUUGAUAAGUUAGAGGUGAAAUGUCGGGGCUCAACCCCGAAACUGCCUCUAAUACUGUUGGACUAGAGAAUAGUUGCGGUAGGCGGAAUGUAUGGUGUAGCGGUGAAAUGCUUAGAUAUCACACAGAACACCGAUUGCGAAGGCAGCUUUCCAAGCUAUUACUGACGCUGAGGCACGAAAGCGUGGGGAGCGAACAGG